rnacentral:misc_RNA from 1 species
CAGAGUUUGACAGGAGGUGUAAAGAAGGGGAGAUAAUUGAUGACCUUCCUUCAUCAUGUAAUGGAAAGACAUUAGAUAUUUCACCUAAUGUGGCAGAAGUAACUUCCUGAUAUCAGCCCAACACAUAACAUCGCUGUCAUCCGAGACAAGUUCCUACCGCAACGGCAUGCCACUGCUGCUUAAACAACCAAAAGUGUUCAUCUGCCAGAAAAAUCAAUGAGAAGCCCCCUGUUUUUAAAGAACAAAGAGUUCAUCAUCUGUUGGUGCAUACCAGACAAUUCUUAGUGGAGCACUUGAACGCAAAAGUUUUAACAUGCAACGAGCUGUAUUUGGUUUAGGAGAGUCAUGGACGAGGAGUCAUCAUUCACUCCAUCCACGCAGAUGUUGGGGAAAAUGACAGGUCAUGUGAUUGAUGGAUGGCGAGGAGGGAAGCACUUGUUGCAGGGAUUUCUAAUUCAUGAAGAAACCAUGGGAAUCCAUAAACUUAAACCAAUAUCUGUAUGAUGCCUAUCACACAGUGCAUGUUCAUAGAGCGCAAGUCAAUUUGGUGCAAAAGUGUUAAAGCUCUAAAGGCAUAGAGGGGUGAAUUUUAACCUAUCAACAGGAAUUAUUGGCAGUUACCAUGACAAACUAUUUUUUUUUAAUGACAUAAAUCAGGAAUUUUAAUAUCUCUGUUAAAAUAGUCAUAAAUUCAUAACUUUUGCAGCAUACCACAAUUGUGCCAAAUAUUUAAAACCAUAAUAAUACUCAAGAGAAGUUACUUCAUAUUUCAGUGCCAAUCUGCACACUUAAAGCACACGAUCUUUUAGUUGCUUCUAGUAAAACUUGAUUAACAGCAACACAUAAUUUUAAUAAGUUUUUAUGUUAAUGAGAUGCUAAAGAUCUUAUUGUCAUCAAUGUUGCUUAAUUGUUUUCCAUAUAGCAGUCCAAAGAGGGCAUGAAUAAUUCUUGGACUAGCUUUGCUUUAUUGAGACACAGUACAUUCAUUGUCUGUUUUAUUUCUCAACAAACUCUAAAAGAGUUUCAUUUGUUAUUUAAGAAUGGAAUGUUUAACCCCAUUUUCUAUUGCAUAGAAAAGAUACAAUAAAAAUGAAAAAACAAAUU